UGUGGCUCAGCGGUAGAGCGCACGCCUAGCACGUGUGAGGCCCUGGGUUUGAUCCUUAGCA
rnacentral:tRNA from 1 species